UACGGAAGGGGCAAGCGUUGUUCGGAAUCAUUGGGCGUAAAGGGCGCGUAGGUGGUUCUGUAUGUCUACCGUGAAAGCGUACGGCUCAACCGUAUUUUGUCGGUGGAAACUGCAGGACUUGAGGCUGGGAGGGGCUGGUGGAAUUCCCUGUGUAGCGGUGAAAUGCGUAGAGAUGGGGGAGAACACUCGUGGCGAAGGCGGCACUCUGGGCCGGCACUGACGCUGAGGAGCGAAAGCGUGGGGAGCGAACAGG
rnacentral:rRNA from 1 species